rnacentral:rRNA from 1 species
GAUGAACGCUGGCGGCGUGCUUGAUACAUGCAAGUCGAACGGAGAGUGUAGCAAUAUACUUUUAGUGGCGAACGGGUGAGUAACGCGUUGGUGACCUGCCCCGAAGCGAGGGAUAACAGUUCGAAAGAACUGCUAAUACCUCAUGUGAUCACCGGUUUUAGAAUCUGGUGAUUAAAGGUGAAAAUCACUUCGGGAGGGGCCUGCGUCCCAUCAGCUAGUUGGUAAGGUAAUGGCUUACCAAGGCGAUGACGGGUAGGGGACCUGAGAGGGUGGCCCCCCACAAUGGAACUGAAACACGGUCCAUACACCUACGGGUGGCAGCAGUAGGGAAUAUUGCAAAUGGGCGAAAGCCUGAUGUAGCAACGCCGCGUGUGCGAUGAAGGUCUUCGGAUUGUAAAGCACUUUUUGGAGGGAUGGAGGAAGGACAGUACCUUUAGAAUAAGCCUCGGCUAACUACGUG